GUGGACUUGCCGGAGUGGCUAUCGGGCAUGACUAGAAACCAUGUGGGCUUUGCCCGCGCAGGUUCGAAUCCUGCCGUCCACG
rfam:Picea glauca, whole genome shotgun sequence.